UACGAAGGGGGCUAGCGUUGCUCGGAAUCACUGGGCGUAAAGCGCACGUAGGCGGAUCGCUAAGUCAGGGGUGAAAUCCUGGAGCUCAACUCCAGAACUGCCUUUGAUACUGGCAAUCUCGAGUCCGGGAGAGGUGAGUGGAACUGCGAGUGUAGAGGUGAAAUUCGUAGAUAUUCGCAAGAGCACCAGUGGCGGAAGGCGGCUCACUGGCCCGGUACUGACGCUGAGGUGCGAAAGCGUGGGGAGCAAACAGG
rnacentral:rRNA from 1 species